rnacentral:rRNA from 1 species
AAUCAACGCUGGCGGCGUGCCUCAGACAUGCAAGUCGAACGAUUAAAGCUCUCUUCGGAGAGUGUAUAGAGUGGCGCACGGGUGAGUAACACGUAAGUAAUCUACCCUCGAGUGGGGAAUAACAACCGGAAACGGUUGCUAAUACCGCAUAAUGCAGCGGCACCGCAAGGUGACAGUUGUUAAAGAUUUAUCGCUUGAGGAGGAGCUUGCGGCAGAUUAGCUAGUUGGUAGGGUAACGGCUUACCAAGGCUACGAUCUGUAACCGGUCUAAGAGGACGGUCGGUCACACUGACACUGAAUAACGGGUCAGACUCCUACGGGAGGUAGCAGUCGGGAAUUUUGGGUAAUGGGCGAAAGCCUGACCCAGCAACGCCGCGUGAAGGAUGAAGUAUUUCGGUAUGUAAACUUCGAAAGAAUAGGAAGAAUUAAUGACGGUACUAUUUAUAAGGUCCGGCUAACUACGUGCCAGCAGCCGCGGUUAA